rnacentral:rRNA from 1 species
CUGGGGGGCUAUACAUGCAAGUCGAACGCACUCUCGUUUAGAUUGAAGGAGCUUGCUCCUGAUUGAUAAACAUUUGAGUGAGUGGCGGACGGGUGAGUAACACGUGGGUAACCUGCCCUAAAGUGGGGGAUAACAUUUGGAAACAGAUGCUAAUACCGCAUAAAACCUAACACCGCAUGGUGUAGGGUUGAAAGAUGGUUUCGGCUAUCACUUUAGGAUGGACCCGCGGUGCAUUAGUUAGUUGGUGAGGUAAAGGCUCACCAAGACCGUGAUGCAUAGCCGACCUGAGAGGGUAAUCGGCCACACUGGGACUGAGACACGGCCCAGACUCCUACGGGAGGCAGCAGUAGGGAAUCUUCCACAAUGGACGAAAGUCUGAUGGAGCAACGCCGCGUGAGUGAAGAAGGUUUUCGGAUCGUAAAACUCUGUUGUUGGAGAAGAAUGUAUCUGAUAGUAACUGAUCAGGUAGUGACGGUAUCCAACCAGAAAGCCACGGCUAACUACGUGCCAGCAGCCGCGGUAAUACGUAGGUGGCAAGCGUUGUCCGGAUUUAUUGGGCGUAAAGCGAGCGCAGGCGGUUUCUUAAGUCUGAUGUGAAAGCCUUCGGCUCAACCGAAGAAGUGCAUCGGAAACUGGGAAACUUGAGUGCAGAAGAGGACAGUGGAACUCCAUGUGUAGCGGUGAAAUGCGUAGAUAUAUGGAAGAACACCAGUGGCGAAGGCGGCUGUCUGGUCUGUAACUGACGCUGAGGCUCGAAAGCAUGGGUAGCAAACAGGAUUAGAUACCCUGGUAGUCCAUGCCGUAAACGAUGAGUGCUAGGUGUUGGAGGGUUUCCGCCCUUCAGUGCCGCAGCUAACGCAUUAAGCACUCCGCCUGGGGAGUACGACCGCAAGGUUGAAACUCAAAGGAAUUGACGGGGGCCCGCACAAGCGGUGGAGCAUGUGGUUUAAUUCGAAGCAACGCGAAGAACCUUACCAGGUCUUGACAUCCUUUGACCACUCUAGAAAUAGAGCUUUCCCUUCGGGGAACAAGUGACAGGUGGUGCAGGGUGUCGUCAGCUCGGGCCGGGAGA